rnacentral:rRNA from 1 species
GCGGUGUGCUUUAGGCAUGCAAGUCGAACGACCCAGCACCAUCAAUGGUGCUGGGAGUGGCGGACGGGUGAGUAACGCGUGAGAACGUACCCUUGAGUGAGGAAUAACCCCGCGAAAGAGGGGCUAAUACCGCAUGGGAUGCUGAGAGUAAUCGAAGUAGUAAAGGCCGUAAUCGGUCGCUAAACGAGCGGCUCGAGUCCCAUCAGCUUGUUGGUAGGGUAAUGGCCUACAAAGGCUACGACGGGGAGCUGGACUGAGAGGUUGACCAGCCACAAGAGCACUGAGACACGGGCUCUACUCCUACGGGAGGCAGCAGUGGGGAAUAUUGGACAAUGGGCGCAAGCCUGAUCCAGCCAUGCCGCGUGAGUGACGAAGGCCUUAGGGUUGUAAAGCUCUUUUGGCGGGGAAGAUAAUGACGGUACCCGCAGAAUAAGCUCCGGCUAACUUCGUGCCAGCCGCCGCGGUAA